rnacentral:rRNA from 1 species
GUCUGGUGCCAGCAGCCGCGGUAAUUCCAGCUCCAGUAGCGUAUAUUAAAGUUGUUGCAGUUAAAAAGCUCGUAGUUGGAUUUCUGACGGACCGUUGCGGCCCGCUGUCUUUACGACAGUGCGUGCUGUGGCGAGUUUUGUCAUCCUUCCAGUAAGCUAUGCCUACCGUUCAUUCGGCCGGGUAUAUGCAAGCUGGAUCUAUUACUUUGAAAAAAUUAGAGUGUUUAAAGCAGGCUUAUGCUGUGAAUACAUUAGCAUGGAAUAAUAUUUUAGGACUUUGGAUCUAUUUUGUUGGUUUUUGGAGCUGAAGUAAUGAUUGACAGGGAUAGUUGGGGGUGCUAGUAUUCCAUGGCCAGAGGUGAAAUUCUUGGAUUCAUGGAAGACUAAUUCUGCGAAAAGCAAUUCACCAAGGAUGUCUUCUUUAAUCAAAGAACGAAAGUUGGGGGAUCGAAGACGAUCAGAUACCGUCGUAGUCUCAACCAUAAAACCUAUACCGUACUAAGGAUCAGUGAUCGUUG